rnacentral:lncRNA from 10 species
ACAGAGUUUCUAAUCAUUUUCCUGCUGCAUGGAAACAUUUGCUACUGUUGGACAUAUUACCUCUAAUAGCAGACCCUAUUCUACUGCCUCAGCUCCACUGGAGUCUCACUGAGCCUACUCUGGCUUUGGAGGUGCCAAGUCACCAAGAGAGAUUCUCAGAGGCCCAUUGCAUCUAUUUCUCUCUUGCAUCAACUGGGCAUCAUGCUUAGCUAGGUCUGAGUUCUUAUCUCACAACCAGGAAGACUUAGGUGCACAGACCCUGGAGAGUGAGUGGAGUAAAAAUUAUUCAGCAAGAUGGAAGCUCUCAGCAAAGAGGGAGUGUGGGGUGUGGUUCCCCUACCCAAAGCUGCCAAUGAAAAACUAAUACUUCUUCAUAAUCAGCUACUAAGAAAUUUGAUAGAUGAAAAAAGAUAAUGAAAGCUGGUGUAAGCAAUCAAAAUAAACAUGAGUUAACCAAAA